CAAACUAGAGAUGGCGACCGGCGCACGGGUGAGUAACACGUAUCCAACCUGCCGAUAACUCGGGGAUAGCCUUUCGAAAGAAAGAUUAAUAUCCGAUAGUAUAUUAAAACCGCAUGGUUUUACUAUUAAAGAAUUUCGGUUAUCGAUGGGGAUGCGUUCCAUUAGUUUGUUGGCGGGGUAACGGCCCACCAAGACUACGAUGGAUAGGGGUUCUGAGAGGAAGGUCCCCCACAUUGGAACUGAGACACGGUCCAA
rnacentral:rRNA from 1 species